AGCAGCCGCGGUAAUUCCAGCUCCAAUAGUGUAUAUUAAAGUUGCUGUGAUUAAAACGCUCGUAGUUGAAUUAUAAUGUUUCCUAGUAUAUGGAGGUUCUGCUUGCAGGGCUGAUAUGUACAAUUAAUGGAACUUAGGCGAUGCUGCUCACGCGGUAUCAUUACUUUGAAAAAAAUAGGGUGUUUAAAGCAAAUCUUAUGUUAAUGAAUAAUGAAGCAUGGGACAAUAUUGAGGAGAUUCUUCGGGAUUUCGAGAGAAGGAUUAAGAGGAACAAUUGGGGUGAUUCAGAAAAUAACGGGAGAGGUAAAAUUCCAUGAUCGCUAUAGGAUGCACGAGAGCGAAAGCAUUUCACUCAAUUGCGUUCAUUAAUCAAGAACGAAAGUUA
rnacentral:rRNA from 1 species